rnacentral:rRNA from 1 species
UUCCGUCGGAGGAGCGGCCUGUGCGACAUCAGGUAGUUGGUGAGGUAACGGCUCACCAAGCCUAAGACGUCUAGGGGGUGUGAGAGCAUGGCCCCCACCACUGGGACUGAGAUACUGCCCAGACACCUACGGGUGGCUGCAGUCGAGAAUCUUCGGCAAUGCGCGCAAGCGUGACCGAGCGACGCCGCGUGUGGGAUGAAGGCCCUUGGGUUGUAAACCACUGUCAGAGGGGAUGAAGUGCCGGAGAGCUAUCUCUCCGGUUUGACAUAGCCUCAGAGGAAGCACGGGCUAAGUUCGUGCCAGCAGCCGCGGUAAUACGAACUGUGCGAACGUUAUUCGGAAUCACUGGGCUUAAAGGGUGCGUAGGCGGCUGUUUAAGUAGGGUGUGAAAGCCCCCGGCUCAACCGGGGAAUUGCGCCCUAAACUGGACAGCUUGAGUGAGAUAGGGGUGUACGGAACUUCCGGUGGAGCGGUGAAAUGUGUUGAUAUCGGAAGGAACGCCGGUAGCGAAAGCGGUACACUGGGUCUUAACUGACGCUGANGCACGAAAGCCAGGGGAGCGAACGGGAUUAGAUACCNCGGUAGUCCUGGCUGUAAACGAUGAGCACUAGUUGGUAGAGGCUUC